AUGGCAUGAUGGGGGCAGUUUCUGAUGAGGUCCUUUAAUCUUUCCCAUGCCUCAUUGAACUGCUCACCAUUUUGCUGUGAGAAGCUAGUGAGAGCUCACCUU
rnacentral:snoRNA from 1 species